rnacentral:rRNA from 1 species
GACAGAGGUGCCGAGCGUUAGGCGGAAUCACUGGGCUUAAAGCGUGUGUAGGCGGAUUCCUAAGUACCUUGUGAAAUCCCACGGCUUAACCGUGGAACUGCUUGGUAUACUGGGUGUCUUGAGCCAGCUAGGGGCUACCGGAACAAAUGGUGGAGCGGUGAAAUGCGUAGAUAUCAUUUGGAACGCCAAUGGUGAAAACAGGUAGCUGGGGCUGUGCUGACGCUGAGACACGAAAGCCAGGGGAGCGAACGGG